rnacentral:rRNA from 1 species
AUCCCGUUGAUCCUGCGGGAGAUUGCUGCUAUUAGGAUUCGACUAAGCCAUGCAAGUCUUCUCGCAAGAGAGGCAGAAUGCUCAGUAACACGUCGAUAAUCUACCUUUAGGUCAGGGAUAACCUUGGGAAACUGAGGGUAACACCUGAUAGGAUAUGAGUAUUGGGACAUCUUAUAUCUGAAAAGCAGUGCCUAAAGAUGAGUCGGCGGUCGAUUAGGUCGUUGGCGGGGUAAUGGCCCACCAAGCCAAAGAUCGAUAGGGGCCUUGAGAGAGGGAGCCCCGAGAAGGGCACUGAGACACUGGCCCUAGCCCUACGGGGUGCAGCAGGCGCGAAAACUCUACAAUGCACGCAAGUGUGAUAGGGGAAUCCUAAGUGCUCAUGUUUAACAUGGGCUUUUGCCAAGAGUAAAUAUCUUGGCGAAUAAGUGGUGGGUAAGACAGGUGCCAGCAGCCGCGGUAACACCUGCGCCACAAGUGGCAAUCAUAGUUAUUUGGCCUAAAGCGUCCGUAGCUGGUUCAUUAAAUCUUUUGUGAAAUUGUUUGGCUCAACCAAACAGCGCGCAAGAGAGACUGGUGAACUUGGAACCGGGAGGAGUCAGAAGUAUUCUUGGAGUAGCGGUAAAACAAACUCGCUGCGUUCAUAACUGUGAACGCAGUGGUUUUUACAGUGUUAUAAUCCCAAGAAGACUACCUGUGGCGAAGGCGUCUGACCAGAACGGAUUCGACAGUGAGGGACGAAAGCUGGGGGAGCAAAACGGAUUAGAUACCCGUGUAGUCCCAGCCGUAAACGCUGCGAGCUAGAUGGUGCAUAUUCUUCGAGAAUGUGCAGUGUCGAAGCGAAGGCAUUAAGCUCGCCGCCUGGGAAGUAUGGUCGCAAGGCUGAAACUUAAAGGAAUUGGCGGGGGAGCACCACAAGGGGGGCGGCGUGCGGGUUAAUCUAAUUCAACGCAGAGAAUCUCACCAAUGGCGACGGCAGGAAGAAAGUCAGGCCAAAGGUCUUACUUGACGAGCCGAGAGGUAGUGCAUGGCCGCCGUCAGCUCGUGCCGUGAGGUGUCCUGUUAAACUCACGAAGGGAGUGCUAAACGAAUGUCGUGAGUGACAGAAAGUCAGGCAACGAGCGAGACCUGUACGUACAAUUGCUAACGACUCAUUUUGAGGAUUGAGUACAUUGUACGGACUGCCUUCGAAAGGAGGAGGAAGGUGCAGGCAACGGUAGGUCUGUAUGCUCCGAAUCUAUUGGGCUACACGCGCGCAACAAUGGUAAGGACAAUGGGUUACAACUCCGAAAGGAGAAGUUAAACCUCGAAACCUUAUCGUAGUUCAGAUUGAGGGUUGGAACUCACCCUCAUGACGUUGGAAUCCCUAGUAAUCGAGUGUCAUCAUCGCUUGGUGAAUGUGUCCCUGCUCCUUGCACACACCGCCCGUCAAACCAACCGAGCAGGGUUUAGGUGAGUAUAAGGUUUUUACCUUAUCCGAACCUAAGCUCAGUGAGGUGGGUUAAGUCGUCACAAGGUAGCCGUAGGGGAACCUGCGGCUGGAUCACCUCC